AGUGAACGCUGGCGGUAGGCCUAACACAUGCAAGUCGAACGGCAGCACAGUAAGAGCUUGCCCUUACGGGUGGCGAGUGGCGGACGGGUGAGGAAUACAUCGGAAUCUACUUUUUCGUGGGGGAUAACGUAGGGAAACUACCGCUAAUACCGCAUACGACCUACGGGUGAAAGCAGGGGAUCUUCGGACCUUGCGCGAUUGAAUGAGCCGAUGUCGGAUUGGCUAGUUGGCGGGGUAAAGGCCCACCAAGGCGACGAUCCGUAGCUGGUCUGAGAGGAUGAUCAGCCACACUGGAACUGAGACACGGUCCAGACUCCUACGGGAGGCAGCAGUGGGGAAUAUUGGACAAUGGGCGCAAGCCUGAUCCAGCCAUACCGCGUGGGUGAAGAAGGCCUUCGGGUUGUAAAGCCCUUUUGUUGGGAAAGAAAAGCAGCAGGUUAAUACCCCGCUGUUCUGACGGUACCCAAAGAAUAAGCACCGGCUAACUUCGUG
rnacentral:rRNA from 1 species